AAUCCCGUGAACCAUCGAGUCUUUGAACGCAAGUUGCGCCCGAAGCCUUCGGGCCGAGGGCACGCCUGCCUGGGCGUCACGCAUCGCGUCGCCCCCCGCCCCCGAGGGGUUGUGCGGAGAAUGGCCUCCCGUGCGCCCCGGCGCGCGGCCGGCCC
rnacentral:rRNA from 2 species